rnacentral:rRNA from 1 species
AGAGUUUGAUCAUGGCUCAGAGUGAACGCUGGCGGCGUGCCUAACACAUGCAAGUCGAACGAGAACGGAUAUGAGUUUACUUAUAUUGUCAGCUAAGUGGCGCACGGGUGAGUAAUAUAUAGUUAAUCUGCCCUGAAGAAGAGAAUAAUUGUUGGAAACGACUUGUAAUGCUCUAUAUGCCUUUAUCGCAUAAGUGAGCAAGGGAAAUAUUUAUAGCUUCGGGAUGAGACUGUACGGUAUCAGCUAGUUGGUGAGGUAAUGGCUCACCAAGGCUAUGACAUCUAACUGGUUUGAGAGGAUGAUCAGUCACACUGGAACUGAGACACGGUCCAGACUCCUACGGGAGGCAGCAGUGGGGAAUAUUGCACAAUGGAGGAAACUCUGAUGCAGCAACGCCGCGUGGAGGAUGACACAUUUCGGUGCGUAAACUCCUUUUAUUAGGGAAGAUAAUGACGGUACCUAAUGAAUAAGCACCGGCUAACUCCGUGCCAGCAGCCGCGGUAAUACGGGGGGUGCAAGCGUUACUCGGAAUCACUGGGCGUAAAGAGCAUGUAGGCUGAUUAGUAAGUUGGAAGUGAAAUCCUAUGGCUCAA